AAACCAUUAAGGAUGGCUGCAUCCUACUAGGAGAGGUCCUGCUAUCUACCCAUAAAUCACAGGUGCAUCCCACUUAGGAGAGGUCCUGCUAUUGUUUAUGCUGACUCACUGAAAUAGCUCACUGGGACACUUGAUGGAAUUGAGCCAUC